AAAUUGAAGAGUUUGAUCAUGGCUCAGAUUGAACGCUGGCGGCAGGCCUAACACAUGCAAGUCGAGCGGAAACGAGUUAUCUGAACCUUCGGGGGACGAUAACGGCGUCGAGCGGCGGACGGGUGAGUAAUGCCUAGGAAAUUGCCCUGAUGUGGGGGAUAACCAUUGGAAACGAUGGCUAAUACCGCAUGAUGCCUACGGGCCAAAGAGGGGGACCUUCGGGCCUCUCGCGUCAGGAUAUGCCUAGGUGGGAUUAGCUAGUUGGUGAGGUAAGGGCUCACCAAGGCGACGAUCCCUAGCUGGUCUGAGAGGAUGAUCAGCCACACUGGAACUGAGACACGGUCCAGACUCCUACGGGAGGCAGCAGUGGGGAAUAUUGCACAAUGGGCGCAAGCCUGAUGCAGCCAUGCCGCGUGUGUGAAGAAGGCCUUCGGGUUGUAAAGCACUUUCAGUCGUGAGGAAGGUAGUGUAGUUAAUAGCUGCAUUAUUUGACGUUAGCGACAGAAGAAGCACCGGCUAACUCCGUGCCAGCAGCCGCGGUAAUACGGAGGGUGCGAGCGUUAAUCGGAAU
rnacentral:rRNA from 1 species